AAUUAUGCUUGGAAAUAUUUCGUGCGAUAUAUUUUUUGAGAGAUAGGUAGCAACACUAUCCGCUUCGUUUAUUUUAUUUAGAAAUAAGUUUAGUCCGGAAUGUGAAUUAAUUAGGAUUCAAAUUUUGGACCUCGGGUAUCAACCACCAAAUCAUUUGUCACUUGCUAUUUCGUGCGAUAUAGCCUGAUUUAUUCGACCACCUUGUGUGAUUUAAAUUAUAACACUUUUGCUUUUCGAUGUCUGUGGUUGUUCCUCUGAUUUGUUCGUU
rnacentral:lncRNA from 1 species